rnacentral:lncRNA from 1 species
CCUAAGUACAUUGAUUAAUAUUAUGAAAAGAAAUAACACAAUCACAAAAUAAAAUAAUGGUUGCUAAAGAAGAAUAUUAAAUAUAAAAGUCUUAAUUGAAUUCUAACUAAAUCUUAAUUUAAUAUUAACAAAUCUUAAUAAAAUAAAAAAUAAAUCUCAAUCAAAUUUUAAAAAAAUCCUAAACAAAUCCUAAUAAAAUCCUGGACCAAAUUCUAAUGAAGCCCUAAACCAAUUCCAACCAAGUUCUUAAAAAAAUCCUAAAUUCU